rnacentral:rRNA from 1 species
GCAAGUCGAGCGCUUCCCUUCGGGGAGGAGCGGCGGACGGGUUAGUAACGCGUGGGAAUGUACCCUUCUCUAAGGAAUAGCCUCGGGAAACUGAGAGUAAUACCUUAUACGCCCUUCGGGGGAAAGAUUUAUCGGAGAGGGAUCAGCCCGCGUAAGAUUAGAUAGUUGGUGGGGUAAUGGCCUACCAAGUCUACGAUGAGUAGCAGGUCUGAGAGGAUGAUC